rnacentral:lncRNA from 1 species
UUGUGAUUUUAUUUUAAUUUUUUUUUUUUUACUUUGCUUAUUCUAACAUAAACCUCAGGUCAUGUCUGUUGUGAAGAACCCAAGGUCCUGUGAACAAAAGCUUUCAGUAUGUUUUUGUCUUAACAUACUGAUAUUCAUAUAGCUCUGAACAUCUCCUUCAUUACCUACUCAAGUCUGACAACCACUCUGGCCUCCAUGGAAGCACAUUAAUUAAUCUAAUUCAAGCUUCCCCACAUAAGGAGGUGAUUGCUGGCUAAGAUCCCACUUUAUCUGAGCACCCAGAAGAAAAUGCCCUAAAUGUACAUAUAAAAUGGCCUGUAGUCACCUGGAAUGUGUGGAACUUGCAGGGAGGUCUCAUAAAUUGUAGCUCUCUGUUGCUCUGUGUCCACACUUCAUUCUCCUGCGGCCCUGUGCAGCUGGGUAAGACACCCGGCUCUCAUUUCCAUGAAAGAGAGCUGGGCUUACAUUAGCACAGGGCAUGACAAGAUAAAAAAUAGAUUCAUUAUUUGACCAGCUGAUGAGUCUGCCAGUAGAGCUUGUGAAUUUAAAUUACAAAAUGGGGGGAAGUUGGAGAAUGUGAAGUGGUUUUCAGUCCUCUGCUUUUGUCUCUAGGCAAGACCUUAUACCUAAAUUAUUUCCAACAAUUAUUGCCUAUGGUAGUUUCACAGAUCCACCCCACUUGGACGAGAUAAAGCCUGGCUCAGGAACUCAUUUUUGUAGCUUAUAACAUGUGUAGUGAGAAUGCUGUUUUGCCUUAGAUAUGAGCUCUGUGGUCUUCAUAGUUUCCUCUCCCCAAAAAGUCCCACCACCCUAGGCAUAUUCCUGAUAGAUUGAAAUGCUGCAUUGAAUAAGUGCACAGACUGCCCAUCCCACAGUAUGGAAGCAGAGCCUUAUCCCCAGUCUUGUGUGCUGAUGACUUUGUCAAAACCCUGUUCGUGGCACAAGUGCCUUUCAAGUUAAAAUGCCUUUCAACUAUGGCUCACCUGUAUCAUCCAUAUCUUUUUCCUUUCAAAAAGAUAAAGAAAGCCUAAAUAGUGGAGGCAAUUCAAAAGCCAUAAAACACGUAAAAAUAACAUAGAUGUAACAUAUCAAUUGGGGAGAAUUAAUAAUGGCUCAUGAUUUAUGUGAAAAUACCUUGGUUAAGAAAUAUGUUGGGGUUACAGAGUUGAAUCUCCAUUCUCUGGUUUACUCGCUGGCAUAUUUUUUCACAGGCAAAUGCAUACAUUGCAGCUUCUAUUGCAUUGCUGUUACUUCUAUCAUGAACAUAGUGGAAGCUUAUGCUGCAUAGAAAUUAGGUGUGAGGACAGAAUAAACCAGAAGAGGUCAAAGGACUUUGAAGCUGCCAAGGGGAGCUCUCUCAUGAUCACAGACCAUCAAGUCCUGUUUCCCGGCUCAUGAUGUCCUCUGGAAUAUGCCUUUGUCUUUUCCUUCACAAGAGAGUGGACUACACCAACUCUGAGGAAAAUGUAGAGCCAAAUUUGUUGAGCUGUGGGUUUAUUAGUUUAUAUAUUAAUCCAUUUAUUUACAUAGCUCUUCUUACUCAACACCAGAGGAAUUUGAAAACCAUUGUGUACUUUUCUAGCAUAACCUUUACUGUUAAUGCCUGCUUUUGUAUUAUCCUCCGCUAACUCUUAAUUACAGAAAACUACACGGAAAAAGCCAUACAUUUAAUAAUUUGGAGGGACUGUGGAGGCAAUGUAGAAGCUUAUUUAAUGGGAAAAAAAAAAAACCUCUGUUUUCUGGGACCAUGAGUUAGAGUUGAUUAAACCAAAAAGUAAGGGUGCUAAGGAAAGUGAAAGGUACAGUAUGCCAUUCAGUGACAGGUCUUUGUGGGUGGAAGCAUAGGCUCUGCUUUUCCAUUCACUGGGUUUUUGUUAUUGAUGUUUUGUGGGGAUUUUUUUGUUUGUUUGUUUAUUGUUUUUUGUUUGUUUUGCCUUACCAUGAGAAUGCAUUUCCUACAAAAUUUAUAAUUGCAAAAGGGGUAGUAUACAAAUCAAUCAAAUUUAUUUUAAAAAUAUCAAGUGUUUACACCCACAACUCAUACCUAAUUAUAAUUAAUUCUUUUAGAUAACCAUUUUAUUAUCUAUUUAUGUUCAUGUUCAUGUAUCUGUGCCCUUCCAUGUAGCCUUAGAGGUAAGAAGAGAGAGUCAGAUACUCCAAAGUUAGAGUUACAGGCAAUUAUGAGCCACUCAACAAGGUGCUGUGAACCAAACCAUGGUCUUCUAGGAGUGCAAUACAUGUUCUUAACUACUGAACCAUCUCUGCCACCCUAUUAUCACUUCUUCAAGCAACAGUAGUCUUUAUUUACAAAUACAACAGUAGCUCACAAAACUCCACUACUUUGAUUACUAAUAGUUCACUGUACAACCGUGUGUAUCUCAAAUCCCAUUUUACACAGCUUGACAUUAAAUGUAUAGAUAAUAACUUACUGUGGUGUUUUGAAUGGUUCUUAUAAGCUCCCGAAAUCAGCAGCUCAGUCUCCACUUGGUGGAACUGUUUGGGAAGGACGACAUUGUUGGAAGAGGUGUGUCCAUGGGAGCAGACCUUGGGGUUUUAAAACUCUGCACAUGUCCCAGUCCUUUCACUCUCUGCCCCUACUUGUGGGUCAGCAUAUGAGCACUCAGCUGUUCCUGCCACGUGGCUUUACUCCACCACAAACUCUAUGCCUCUAAACUUUUUAAGCCAAUUAAAUGCUUUCUUUAUAAGUUGCCUUGGUCAUGGCUUUUUAGCAUAGCAAUAGAGAAGUAACUAAAAGAGAUGUCACUAUUAGUAACCAGAAAACCACAAAUACUUUUCAAGAGAAGAAGAGAUUUCCUAAGUGCCUUGUUUUAUUGAUUAAAAUACACAAGAACCAAGGGAGACUUUAUGGGACCCAGCAACCCAUAAAGACUAUAUAUGAAUGCCAUACAUUUAGGUGAACCAUUUCAAAGAGUUGGGAUGCUGAAGGAAGAAAAGUUUGUAAGAAGAUUUUGCUAUGUGCUGAUGGGCAGAUUCAGAAGACCAUUCCCCAUGCAACACUAUCCUUUUCAGGAAGAUCUUCUGCUUGAAGAGUUGUUAUGUCCCAUAUGCACUUCACCAAGUAAGCUGGAGUCAUUCUGAAUGGACAUUAAGUUGUAGCCAUUCACCCAAGGAAAGAAAAAUGAGAACUCCUAUGACAAUUACUUCCAGAAGAAAUUUCUAGAACUCAAACAAAAGAUAAAAUGAGAAAAUGUUCUGAAAUUGAAUGACUUUAUUGAUCUGGGGAAAGGGUACAAAAUGAGUUACCUUGAAGCAUGCAAUAAUUGUCACCUGCUGUGGCAACUUGUGUAAACUUUGUUCUUAGUGGUCAGAAAUAAAAAUGGCAAAGGUCUGGGUGUGAGUUGCCACAGUGGUGACAUUCAUCAGUCUAUGCAUGUAGAGGCUCUGCCCCACUCGAAAUGGGGCAGGAAGAAUGAUCGUGUGCAUGAUCACCAAAAUAUGAAUUAUAGGCCUUUCUUGUAGGUAUUCUCCUAACACACUCGAAGCUCACUGUCCAUCACAGUCAUCUCCUAAUAGGACAUUUGAACAAACUUUAUUUAGAAAUACAGACUCAGAGCUUAAGAUGUGGAGAAAGCUACUCUGGAAACAAAAACACAGAACUGUCAGAUUCUGUUCAAUUUACACAUCGUACCUCAGCAUAUUUCUGUAUUGUUGCAUUACUGGAUAGAAACUAGAUAAUUUUGCUUCUCUGUGUAUGUCUUAAUGCAGUUUGCAGUGGGAUAGGAGCCUCACAUUUUGUGCAUCAAAAUCUUCAGUUAACAGUGAAGAGCAUACCUGUUCACUGCAGAACCUAUCCCCUUAGAUCAGUCUCAUUUACUGUGGAUACAACUGUCAAGUUUUUGGGAACAAAUGAACCUC